rnacentral:lncRNA from 1 species
CUCGGGGCGGCAGCAGGGCCCGCUGAGGACGGAGGAGGUGCCGUGGGUGCCCGUGCGUGCGCCAAGCUUCAUCCAGUCCCGGAACCCCGGGCGGAGGUUCUGCAAUGUGUACGGAGAACUUAUUUUUAUUUUAUUUCAUUUUUAGAUUUUAUUUUUUUUAUUUAUUCAUGAGAGACACAGAGACAGAGGCGGAGAUACAGGCAGAGGGAGAAGCAGGCUCCCUGCGGGGACCCUGUGUCCAGAGAAGCGAAGUGACCUACCCAGGGUCUCACAGGCAGCGGGGCCGGCUGCUUCUGGGGCCGCUGGGGCGACACCUCAUGAACUUGUGCAGGCUGGAUGGGUGGAAGCGUUUGUGGUGUCAACGAGCUAGGGGCUGGGCGUGGAAGGCACAGGUUUCCUGGAUUCCCAGAGGCGGGACCAGGGUGCUCUCCAGGGGUCAGAGCAGGAAUGGCUUGGAGUCACCUGUGAACCUCGACGGGGACAAGACUGGCUGGCACCCGAGUCCCUGGCCCCCCGACAUCCAACAGCCUUUGCACACAGGCUCCAGGGUUAAUUCCUUGACACUCCGCUUGCACUGCCCGCUUCUGCGGGCAGCCCAGCGCCAGCCUACUCCCGUCCAGUCCUCAAGGCCCUGGCUCAGAUGCCCCCUCCCCCAGGAAGCCCGUCUGCCCCCCCAGGCAGGGCCAGCCCCAGGGACCCAUUCUUGGCUCAGUGUCACGGGGCUGGCGUCUGCAUCCAGCCCUAUGGCCCCGUUUUCACGGCCUGCUGAGUGCUUCUCCACGCGUGUCCCUGCGUGCAGCAGGUGCUCAAUGAGCGUGUGAUAGAGGCGUAAAUAGAUGCACGGUCAGGCUGGAAUUGGCCUUAGGAACCAUCCCGGCCUGUGCCUGGUGCUCAUCAAAGUUCUGCGGGUUAGUUUGUGGGGUGGGGGGAGGAGGUCAGGUUUCCUUCGCUCUCGAAAACCAGGCCACACGCGGCAGCCUCAGGCCGUGCUCCACGGGUCACGCUGUGCGCAGCCGGCCUGGGUCUCCC